AAGUAAAAGUCGUAACAAGGUUUCCGUAGGUGAACCUGCGGAAGGAUCAUUACUGAACGAAAAGGGUGGCAAGACUGUCGCUGGCUUAGAUGAGCAUGUGCACGUCUUUUGCUGCUUAUUUCAUUCUCUUUUCCACCUGUGCACCUUUUGUAGACACUUGGGAUGGGGGGAGAGGUUGGCAUUGACUGUUGACCUCUCUCUUGAUAGUGAAAAGUCUGGGUGUCUAUGCAUUUUUUGACAUACACAUUUGAAUGUCUAUAGAAUGAGAUUGUAGGCUUUUGUAAGCCUUUAAAUGAUAAAAUACAACUUUCAACAACGGAUCUCUUGGCUCUCGCAUCGAUGAAGAACGCAGCGAAAUGCGAUAAGUAAUGUGAAUUGCAGAAUUCAGUGAAUCAUCGAAUCUUUGAACGCAUCUUGCGCUCCUUGGUAUUCCGAGGAGCAUGCCUGUUUGAGUGUCAUUAAGUAUCUCAAAAAGCUUAUGCCUUGGCAUGAGAAUUUUUGGACAUUGGGAGUUGCUGGCCGCUGAUGAAAGCGGUGGGCUCUUCUGAAAAGCAUUAGUUGAGGGCUUUGCACUCUAUUGGUGUGAUAGACUAUCUAUGCCAGGAGAUGCUUUUAUGAUCCUCUGCUGUCUAACUGUCUUUACUGGACAAUGUGAUGAACUUGACCUCAAAUCAGGUAGGAC
rnacentral:rRNA from 1 species